AAGGAUCAUUACCGAGUGCGGGCCCUCUGGGUCCAACCUCCCAUCCGUGUCUAUCUGUACCCUGUUGCUUCGGCGUGGCCACGGCCCGCCGAAGACUAACAUUUGAACACUGUCUGAAGUUUGCAGUCUGAGUUUUUAGUUAAACAAUAAUUAAAACUUUCAACAACGGAUCUCUUGGUUCCGGCAUCGAUGAAGAACGCAGCGAAAUGCGAUAAUUAAUGUGAAUUGCAGAAUUCAGUGAAUCAUCGAGUCUUUGAACGCACAUUGCGCCCCCUGGUAUUCCGGGGGGCAUGCCUGUCCGAGCGUCAUUGCUGCCCUCAAGCACGGCUUGUGUGUUGGGCUUCCGUCCCUGGUAACGGGGACGGGCCCAAAAGGCAGUGGCGGCACCAUGUCUGGUCCUCGAGCGUAUGGGGCUUUGUCACCCGCUCCCGUAGGUCCAGCUGGCAGCUAGCCUCGCAACCAAUCUUUUUAACCAGGUUGACCUCGGAUCAGGUAGGGAUCCCGCUGAACUUAAGCAUAUCAAUAAGCGGAGGAA
rnacentral:misc_RNA from 1 species